CCGACUUAUGUAUGCGGCGUACUUUAGGCACCGCGAUGGAUUGGCACACCAUCGAGAUAAAGACGGAAACCGCGAAAGUGAUCCUCCAGUUUUAUCUUUUUUAAUUACGAGUGGCCAAUGGGUAGGAGCGAACAAGAGGACCAGAGACUGGGUAGUUCGUUUUCUCGGUUUUUAUCCAUAAUGGCUUAACAGCCAAACCUGCUAUUAACUGAGGUCGACGCAUCCGACCGUUGGAAUUCUUGUUACAAGGACGUUUAAUGAAAAUUUAUAUUAUCUUAUAAAACGUAUGUGUAGCAGUUGAAACGACUAAAUGGUUUUGUUCGUUCAACCACCAACGUUCAGCAAACUUAAUAAGCAGAGAGAAGAGAAACGCCGAAGGGAGUUCAGAACGGGCAUCGGCCUCGUAGAGGGUUCCUCUUCUCCUUCGAGGGAACUUCUUUGAACAGACGGAUUCGAGACGACCCCCGUGCUACGAAGAACGAACCGCUACUUCCAGUAGUUUCCUCCUCUUUUUCUGCCGGCCUAUCUUUUCUUUUUCCCUCGCUCUGUCGUUUCAUUUUCUACCUUCAACGGCUCGUGCAGGAUUUCUUUCAUAGCGAAGUAGAAAUCAUUGGGUUCCUUUUUCCUUCAACCCGGCCUUAUUCCUUCCCCCCUUCUUUCUCUUUUCGUUUCUAUCACCCUUCGUCCCCCUCUCUGGUUCCAUAACUUGAAAGAGUAUUCUUCCAUGGUUUUUCCAUAGGAGAACGUCGAUCUAUUCCACCUCGUGUCAGAUAUGGAGAUUUAUUUUCACGAUUGGGACGUCUUUCUCUUUCAGUUUCCCUGGUUCUUGGUCGCUCGUCGGAUAGUGAGGGACGUGAGAUUUUAUUGUUCAGAUUCGAUCGUGUCAUGCCGAUAUCCAUUUCUUACGGGAAAUCUCCUACCUUUCGUCGAACUUUGACAGCGAGAUUUCGCUUUCUUUCAUUCGGCUGCUUAGUAUACAAUCUUUUUGAUGUUUUUCGAUACGAAUAUUUCUAGGAUUGUUUGCACCCAAUAUCUGCACUUUGCAUGUAUUUACAGAUAUAUAGCACAAAUGUCGGAUGACAGUGAGAAAGCAAACAGAAAGAUAAGAGCAAUUAAUGAAACUUAACAAAGUUUAAUAAAGUUCCUCAUUGCGUAAUGGUUUCUAUUUAACAACUUUAAUUAGCUCUAAUUUGUGAGCAAAUUUUGUAUUGACUAUUUUAAACAUAUCCUCGUGUUUAACCCUUUAAACUCUAUAGCGCAGUUUACGAUGCAAUAUGGAAAACCUUACUAAUUUCUAUCGCGACUAACACAAAACAAGAAACUUAAAUAAUUGUUUCAAAAUACAUAUAAAAAUUCUUCCUUCUUAUUUUUAUUAAAAAUUAUUUUUUUUAUCGCGUAUUACAUUAUUAAAAAUGAAAAAUAAUUGGAAAAUAAACAUGACAUUUGCCGAUGGAACAAAUUAAUUUAGCAAUUCUAAAACUGUAAUAAUUCUCGAAUGAUUUCACGGCAUGUACAUAUACCUGCUUUAACACUUUUUGGUAAAAGUCUGGAAAUUACAUGUAUCAAUUAACGUAACCAAACAUAUCAGGUUUAGAAUAAAGUUACAAUGUAUUUUUUAUAUGCGUCGACGCAUGAAAAUACAUAAAAUUAAUUCUAGAGUAUACUUCAUUUUAUAUUAUUUUCCUUUGCUUUGUGACAUUUUUCUUAUCUUUAAUCAUUUUAAAAACAGAACUUGCCUCUGUUGUGGAAGCUUUUCUAUAAACAGCGUGUUACUAAAUCGAAUUAAUUUGAGCAACAAAGAAAUAAAUAACAAUAAGAGAAAAAUCGUACAGUAACUGUAAAAUAAAACCACAUUUGAUUACAUAUUCUUAUCUUUUUAUACCUUGUACAAAUUAGUAUCUUAUAUCAUAUUAUCCCAUUUCAUUUAUUUAUCUAUUAUGAACCUACUUAUUCCUUCACGCGCAAAAUUGAACUUACUAUUUCCAAGAUAAUUGUGGGUUCAAUACAUUUUAACAGAAAUAAUAUUCGCCACCAAUUAGUAUAUCUUUCACUCGAAUAUAGGUCAUCGAAAGGGAAUUAAAAUACUGAAUUUAAAGAUAGAUGUAAUAAAUAUGGCGAGCGGUCAUUGCUAUUAUUUUUGGUGAUACGAUCAACAUAACAUUCGGUUGAAGCAGACCGCAGGCCCUUUUCCCAUAUCCACCACCAAAACCGUGAAUUAUGUAUGCGUGCGCACGUUCAAACGGCCGCCUGCAUAUAGUUAUUUAAUAUUUCCAUUAAUUCAGUCCUGACACAGUCGAGCACAUGUGUAUCCCUUUUCUGAUAUGUUUAUGAUUUUACAUUUUCUAUUUUACAUUUUAAGAUGCAAUUCGUAAAUCUUACAAAGUAUCUAACUCAUAACGGAUAUUAAUAUUUAAUGUACACAAUGUUUUCAUUCAGUUCAAAACAUUAUAUUUUGUGCUAAAUCUAAUUUAGGGAUAUAGUAAAUUUAAUUUAUUGGAUAUUUGUGUCAUAAGUA